ACUCACUUCCAGGGAAGGUGGGACUUGAACAAAGACUUUUUGGACUCGUAGAAGGGACACUAUCACAGCACCACAAGAGCCCCUGAGCCUUACAAGCUUUUUUUUUUACAAUUGCAUGGAGAAAUAAAAUAACAUGGUCAGAGAAGUGUAUCAAACAAACACAACUAACAAAAGAAAUUGAAACCAAUGUGAGAGGGCAUUGGCCUAAGCAUCCACAAACAGUGUAAGAGGGGAACAGCCUGAGACCUCAAAAACUGCCUGACAGGGGAACAGACCAAGAUCAAGACCAAGAGAGGAGCACCCAAGCAAUGCAAACAGUUCACUAGUUGGCCUAUCCUUGGCUGAAGCCCAGGAAGAGUGGCAACCUGGAGAGAUCAAGUAUCCAAGGAUGAACCCGGGCAGAGAGAGAGCAGGAGCUGAGACAGAGGGGAC